rnacentral:rRNA from 1 species
UGGGGAAUAUUGCACAAUGGGCGAAAGCCUGAUGCAGCAACGCCGCGUGAGUGAUGAAGGCCUUCGGGUUGUAAAGCUCUGUCUUCUGGGACGAUAAUGACGGUACCAGAGGAGGAAGCCACGGCUAACUACGUGCCAGCAGCCGCGGUAAUACGUAGGUGGCAAGCGUUGUCCGGAUUUACUGGGCGUAAAGGAUGCGUAGGCGGAUACUUAGGUCAGAUGUGAAAAUCCCGGGCUUAACUUGGGAACUGCAUUUGAAACUGGGUAUCUAGAGUGCGGGAGAGGAAAGUGGAAUUCCUAGUGUAGCGGUGAAAUGCGUAGAGAUUAGGAAGAACACCAGUGGCGAAGGCGACUUUCUGGACCGUAACUGACGCUGAGGCAUGAAAGCGUGGGGAGCAAACA